ensembl:lncRNA
GCGAGAUGCAUGCCGGUUAGAAAAGUGUCCGAGUUACGUCCGCCUUGCUCUGAUGUCAUGCUGACGUGUGUCAAAAAACUCUCGCGACGGCGAGGUGGCUGUGUCGGAUUGAGCAGUCGAGCACAGUUGCUCUCCACCGACUGCGCUUUUCAAAAGCAUGAUGGGAAACGACUGACUGACGACACAGCUUCAUGCUCAUUGGCUGAGAAUGUCAACUGAUACAUUUUCUCUUUAUUCUAAGAAUUAGAUUUAUAUUUACAUGCGAACUAAACAAAAACAAAACACGCCUAGUGAAGUUAAGAAUUAGGACAUGCGUUUAUUUUAUUUAAUUUUUCUCUUAAUUCGAAUUCUUCCUUGUAAUUUUCACUUUAUUCUAUUGUAUGUUUGUGUGAAUUAAUAAAUCAAUCCAUUAAAAAUAUACAUGCACACAUACAUAUCUAAAUGGACUGUUUAGCCAUUAUGCCUCAUCUUUGUGUGGUUUCAUCUGAGAAGUGUCAGGGUCUGGCUUAAAACAAGGGAAGAAAUUCUGAGGAAUGUUUGCUACAAAACAGCUUUGACUUGCAUAGUAUGGAAAAAUACUAUGGAUGUGAAAUGGUGGCAGAAACCUGCUUGUUUGCAAACAUUCUUCUAAAUUUCAUCCUUUUUGUUCAAAAGAACAAAGGAAUUGAUGCACAUGAUGACAAAACAGUGGUAUUUCGAUUACAUUCACUUCGUCUGCGAUAAAAAACGCGAACGUGAUCUCCUUCAUUGCUGACGUUUGCAGGCGACAAAACAGCGAGAUUCGGGAAGUGUCCGACUUCAAAGGUCUUUUUUGACCCCUCCCCUUACUGCAGCUGCCUACUCUCACCUACAUUUCAGGCGAGGCAAGGCGCAUCUCAAACAAGCCUUUUGUUUUCCUCGCGCAGAAGUGAUUAACCGCGCGCGCAAGCAUCAGUUGUACGCUCGGUUAUUAAUGGCAGUGAAAUGCCGCCAUAGUGAUGUGGGUUCACUGUGUGUGAGAGAGAACAUGAUCUUUACGCUAUUUAUAUGUUACAGUGUCUUAAUGAUUGUAACUGAAGGAGCAUCAGUGAAAGUUCAUCCAGGAGGAAACACAACACUUCCCUGUAGCAUUAAAAAUGAUACAGAGAUUAACUGGAUCAUUACGAAUGGAAACCAAACAUUUGUAAGAAUUCUGAAACUAGAAUAUCUUUAUGGAGGUAAAUUUAAACCAGAGCCCUCCAUUAUUCACCCCAGUUAUGCAGGUCGGAUAACAGCACUCAUUUCUCCCAUAAACACUCACUCUCUGCUUCUGAUGAACAUCUCUGACACUGAUCUCAUGCUCUACUGCUGCAUGGACUUCACACUUGAACAAUCUCACUGCACAAAGCUGGACUAUCAAGGUUGUGGAAAAACUAAUAACCUGAACCAGGACUGGAUUCACAAUAGUGUUAAGGGUAAAAUGGGACAAGAUGAUUGGACACUGGUUGAAGUUUUGUAUACACCGAUACCUUAA